rnacentral:tRNA from 1 species
GGAGAUUUAGCUCAGUGGUAGAGCGCUUGCCUAGCAAGCAUAAGGCCCUGGGUUCGGUCCUCAGCUCCA